rnacentral:rRNA from 1 species
GACGAACGCUGGCGGCACGCCUAACACAUGCAAGUCGAACGCCCUCUUCGGAGGGAGUGGCGGACGGGUGAGUAACGCGUGGGAACCUGCCCCGUGGUGGGGAAACCCGAGGGAACUUGGGUUAAUACCGCAUGAGCCCGGCUCCUUGGUGGGGCGUGGGGAAAGAUUUAUCGCCAUGGGAUGGGCCCGCGUCGGAUUAGCUAGUUGGUGGGGUAAUGGCCUACCAAGGCUUCGAUCCGUAGCUGGUCUGAGAGGACGAUCAGCCACACUGGGACUGAGACACGGCCCAGACUCCUACGGGAGGCAGCA